GGCGCGGAGGCCGGGCCGCGGCUGCUCUGCUCGCGCCCGGGGCCGCCGACGGGAGGACGGGGCGCGCCGGCACAGGUGGUCCGCGGCGAGCCGGAGCGAGGAGCAUGGCCAGGUGCGGCGGGACGAGCGGGCCCCGGGCCUCGCGGGCGCCCGGCUCCAGGGGACUUGUCUGCCAGUUUGCCAUUGUGCACUCAGGAAUCUGCUCCAUUCUGAAGUGAACUGCCCAGAGGUAUUAGUCAAGAAGCUGGAGGAGGCUGGGGAGUGGGGAGAGCCAUAACACAAAGACAACAUCAUGGCUGGAUCCUCGACUUGCGAAAAAGGCUAAACCUCCAGAAGAGUGCAAAGAGAAUGGUAGGUCAUUAAGUUUCUAUGAUGUUUCUGCGUUGCGCUUUGAGCAUGUUUGUGUUUCUUAAAGGAGGGUCUCACCGACAGGAGCAAUCAUGUAGUUGAGACAA
rnacentral:lncRNA from 12 species